GUGCUCGCUUCUGCAGCACAUACACUAAAAUUGGAACGAUACAGAGAAGAUUCACCCCUGUGCAAGGAUGGUACUCAAAUUCGUGAAGUGUGCCAUAGCUUU
rnacentral:snRNA from 1 species